rnacentral:rRNA from 1 species
CAGUCGCCGCGGUAAUACGUAGGUGGCAAGCGUUGUCCGGAAUUAUUUGGCGUAAAGGGCUCGCAGGCGGUUUCUUAAGUCUGAUGUGAAAGCCCCCGGCUCAACCGGGGAGGGUCAUUGAAAACUGGGAAACUUGAGUGCAGAAGAGGAGAGUGGAAUUCCACGUGUAGCGGUGAAAUGCGUAGAGAUGUGGAGGAACACCAGUGGCGAAGGCGACUCUCUGGUCUGUAACUGACGCUGAGGAGCGAAAGCGUGGGGAGCGAACAGGAUUAGAUACCCCGUAGUCCCUGUCUCUUAUACA